AUGGAGCUUCCCAGUUACAGCAAGCAGUUGCUGCAGCAGCUGUAUGCUCUCUGCAGAGAGCAGCAGUUUUGUGAUUGCACCAUCUUCAUUGGGACUGUGCAUUUUAGAGCACACAAGGUUGUUCUGGCUGCUGCCAGUCUGCUUUUCAAAUCCUUGUUGGAUAGCACGGACACCAUCUCCAUAGAUGCUUCUGUGGUGACCCCGGAGGAGUUUGCGCUCUUGCUGGAGAUGAUGUACACUGGUAAACUCCCAUUGGGGAAACACAACUUCACCAAAGUCAUCUCUGUGGCGGAUAGUCUGCAGAUGUUUGAUGUAGCUGUUAGUUGCAAAAACCUCCUCAGAGACCUCAUCAAUUGUUCAAGUCAGGGUCAGGUAGUGAGAGAUGUCUCCAGCCAGGCAGCAGACUCAUCAGCAAAUGAUGCUGAAGCUAAUAAUCUGCCCCAAUCUGAGAAACUUCCUUCUGAAGUGAAAACAGAUACCCUACUCCCUCAAAAAGCUUCCUCUUCUCCUGGCCCUGCAGAAGUAGAAAUGGAAGCAGAUGUUUCUGGCCAGGAACUCAACAUGAAUCACACUUUGGUUCAUCAGGACAUAAUGCCAAGUGACUCCAAAUCCUUCAGGGAAGAGUCAAGCUGUCAUUCAGAUCACCAUUCCCAUGCAGAGUUGGGUAGCUGCGUGGAAGAGGAGGUUGCUGAGCCUCUGGAGAAGAGAAGAAUUGCUGAUUUAGCAACAGAGGGCAAAAGCUGUAAACUGGAUUUCUUUCUUCAGUACGAAAGCGUGUUCUCUGAGGCCCUUUCUGAUGUCCAGACUGUGGUGAAAAAACUAGAAGAGUAUGGAGAAAUUGAUGCCUCUCAAAGGGAGGCUCUGGUGGCCUGUUUAGAAGAGAUGGAGGAAGAGUCAGUGUUCAAGAAACUGCUGGGCAAAGUGAAGGACGGACAGAGCCUGGAUGCUCAAACCCUUGUGUCUAUCUUGAAGCUGUUUCAAGACUCAAAUCCCAGGCUGAAAGAAGCACUCUUGGAGAGAGAACUGGACAGUGGAGAAGCCCUACAGCAAGCAGAGAGCACAGAAGAGGGAAAGACCCUGGCCACGCUUCUAUUAGAUUGCAGGGAAGAGCUGAUCCAGAGUGUAACACAGCUGAGCCCUAUUGUAGAGUUCCUGGAAACAGCAGAAGAAGGAUUCCUGACCGCCUUGGAGAAGCGGAUAGUUCUGGAUUGCUGCGAGGGCAGCUCUCACAGGGAAGCCAUGGAGAAUCUGCUGAAGAAGGUGGAUGAAGAGAAAACCCUGAAAGCUGAAAGUUUGAUCAAACUCUUUAGGGCCGUGAAAGGAUCAUUUCCUGGUCUCCACCUGCUACUAGACAACUUGAUGGCAACAGCAACUGUCUCUGGCAAAGCCAAAUGGAGCCUGAGUGAUUAUGGAGCCAAACUGUUGAGAAGAUACCAAGAAAACCUUGCGGAGCUUCUCACAGAUACCCACACACUGCUACAAGGGAUCUCUGCUGCACAGAACCUUGCUCCUGGUGAGAGAGAGGUAAUGGAACAGAUUGUGAAGCGCGAGACUGGCUCAGGUGGUUUCGUCUCGCUGGUGUCUGCGGCGCUUGACAAACAGUCUCUGUCAGUGUCUGCCAUUUGGCAGCUGCUCUUUGCUGUGCGAGAGGCUGAAUUUCCACUGAACGUGCUCAUGGAGGAGAUCCAGAAAGAACCAGGCGCAGACUUUUUCUUCCAAGCAGUGGCCACCAGUGAAAGCACAGCUAUUGAGAUCAUACUGCGUCACAGCAAGCUGAUCUCGGAGGCCAUCAAGCAGCGAGCAGACCUGGAAUGCUUGGCUCCGGCGGAAGCAGGACUCACCGAAGCGGUGAAAGAGCUGCUGAGUAUUUCUGUUCAAAAAGAGAGCUCAGAGGCCUCCCUGAAAGCAGCUCUGAGUACAGCGCAAGAGAAGUCUGUCGCAGCCAUCUGUCAGCUGCUAUGCAAUGUUCACGAGUCUUUCCCGGACCUACAGCCAGUGAUGCAGGAGCUAGAGCAUGUGGGGAUCCUGACAGAGGGAAGCGGGGAGAAACCUGGGAUCAGGAAGUGGAAGGUGAACAGUGAAUCCCAGGUGGAAGCUCUGGAUAAAGAGGACAACAAGGCAGGAGGUGCCAGGGCCAAGGAAGCGAAGGAACCCCAAAAGAAAGCUUCUUCCAAGAAGAGUUUUGUCUGCAAAGCCUGUGAUAAGAGCUUCCACUUCUACUGCCGCCUAAAGGUGCACAUGAAACGUUGUCGGGUGGCCAGAGGAAAGCAAAUCCAGUGUAAGGUGUGCAAUGAUGUCAGAACAACAAAGAAGGAGCUAGAGAAACAUCAGCUGGAGGUCCAUGGGGCAGUGGGGACAGCCAAGAAGAAGAAGCGGCUCCCUGUGACGUGUGACAUUUGUGGCCGAGAGUUUGCUCAUGCCUCAGGAAUGCAGUACCACAAGCUGACGGAGCACUUCGAUGAGAAGCCCUUCUCCUGUGAAGAGUGCGGGGCCAAGUUUGCAGCCAACUCCACGCUGAAGAACCACCUGCGGCUCCACACUGGGGACCGUCCCUUCGCGUGCAAGCACUGUCUUAUGACCUUCAUGCAAGCCUCAGCCCUCGCCUACCACACCAAGAAGAAGCACUCUGAGGGGAAGAUGUACGCCUGUCAGUACUGUGAUGCAGUGUUCGCCCAGUCCAUCGAGCUAUCGCGCCACGUCCGGACUCACACGGGGGACAAGCCGUACGUCUGCAGGGAGUGUGGAAAAGGUUUUCGACAGGCCAACGGGCUCUCCAUCCACCUCCGAACCUUUCACAAUAUCGAAGAUCCGUAUGACUGCAAGAAGUGUCAGAUGAGCUUUGCCACCCUGCAGGAGCACCGCAAGCAUGUCCAUGAAGCCCAUUCGCGGGAGUACCACCCCUGCCCAACCUGUGCUAAAGUCUUCAGCGCUCCUUCUCUCUUGGAGCGUCACAUGGUGACCCAUGUUGGAGGAAAGCCCUUUAGCUGUGAGAUCUGUGACAAAGCUUACCAGCAGUUGUCAGGGUUAUGGUAUCACAACCGGACCCACCAUCCUGAUGUCUUUGCAGCUCAGAAUCAUCGCUCCUCCAAGUUCUCCUCUCUGCAAUGCAGCUCCUGUGACAAAACCUUCUCUAGUACUGCUGCUCACCGAAAACACGUCAAGGAAGAGCACACAGAUGUCAAGUUCCACGAGUGUGAGACAUGCAAGGAGCUCUUCCCCACACUGGCUCUCCUGCAGGUCCAUGUGAAGUGCAGGCACUCAGGCUCCCAGCCAUUUCGCUGCUUGUACUGCUCAGCCUCCUUCCGCUUCCCAGGGGCCCUGCAGCAGCACGUCACCACGGAGCACUUCAAGCAGACAGAGAGCACCUUCACCUGUGAGCUCUGUGGGGAGCUCUUCACCUCUCAAGGCGAGCUGGAGGGUCACUACAGCGCCGAGCAUCCCAAGGUGGUUUUCACAGAAGCUCAAGCUACCACAGCCCAGAUUGUGCAGGUGAUCCAGACAUCGGAGCAAGGAGCAGCAGAGCACAUAAUCUCCUUCGAUGAGGCCCAGCUUGCUGGCUCCCAAGUCUUUGUGACAUUGCCAGAUUCACAAGUAAGCCAAGCUGGCUCAGAGCUGGUGGCAGUGACUAUGGAAGACUUGUUUGAUGACAAGGUCACUCUAAUUUGUGAAGAAACCAAAGGAGAGUGAGGAGCAGGUGCCCAUGCACAGCCUCAGGAAUCCAUUGGACUGGUACUGGAUCCAUACCUGGCUAUGCUGCUACAGCAGUGAGAUUUAGAGUUUCCUUGAAAAAGUAAUCUCAGCUGUGCGACACUGGCAAAAGAAAUGACAGGCAGCAAACAGCAUGGCCAAGGAUAGGAGAGGCUUGUAAAUGUUCAUGUGGGCCAGGAAAAUCUUCCUUCCCCUGGAGUCAGCAGCUGCUGGCUCUGGUGAGCUGAGCCACUCAGCCCUCCCAACUCAAGAAAAAUAAAAAAGCAGGAGGAAAGACAGAAGAUAGAGUAUGUUGUGUGACUCUGCUACCAUGAGCAGAGUCAGAGGGGAGGAGACUAACGCAACCUGGGACAAAGUUGGGGUGAUACGGAGUAGGCAGACAAAAUAGCCUUUGAAACCAAAGAAAAAGCUGUCUUGAAUUCAGGGUAUGUGAGGAGGAGGUGGAGACUUCUUAUGGCUAAAUCAGAAAUAUUCUCACAGGUAUCUGCUACCCUGCAGCUUUUCUCAAGACUGCUUUGUCGCUCCUGUUGCUCUCUUCUACUGUAGUGCUGCUUGUUGGUCCAGCUAGAAAAGUCUCCCUGAAGCAGAGCCAUCAUUUGAACCUCUACUCAAGCAGAGACUUCUUCGAAAUUGUGUUAAAUGGCUCUGCCAACCUGACAAAAGGAAACAAGGUUUAGCAGAGGCAUAGAAAUGAGUGGUGGGCUGCUGGCAGCUAUAAACUGAGCAGGUAGAACCAACCCUUGUUCGUUGUGACAGGAUAGAGUCAUCUCUUAGCAGAUGUAUGCUGGCUGUCUUAGAUGUUCAGGAAAAUGCCUGCCGUGCCAUCCUUCUGUCAGGGUUGAUACAGGCUCUACUUUAGUCUCUUUUGCCUCCCAUCUGUGCUGUACCCAGAUCACUGGUUGGGAGUUAAAUCAAGUUGCCAGUAUUGACCAGCCCCUUGUGUGUGCAGCUGCCUCUGUUACCUGUCUCCUGGGAAGCCUGGCAAUACGCUGUGUAGCGCGGGUUUAAUACCAUCCACGUUUGUGCUGUGGCUGUCAGCACGACUGUCUGUUGAGAAGAAGGAUCAGAGCCAAGACUGGACAUCCACGUCCUCUUUGUGAGCAGAGAACGGCCCUGAGACCUCCUGGCCCUUCAUCUGAUUCACCUAGAUACUGACGCUCCCGCAUCUGACGACUGUUUCUCUAUGCCAGGGUCGCUCGUUGCUUGUGUGUUUAAUACUGUUAUCGAUGGAUUGGCACUAACGAAGGUACUUCUGUCUGAGCACAUAAUGACUGCCAUGAUUGCACAUAGCCAUUCCCUGUGGCAAACAAUACGUUGCUUUGUAAAAUACAUUCAGAUACCUAGUGUAAAGCUUGUUUCCCUGGUGCCAGCACGAUGCAACAACUUCAUUGCAGCACAAUGGCCCCUUUAAGAUGAAAUUUCAUAAAGCUUUUUUAUCUGCAGUUUCCUAAAAUAUAAUCUGAUAAUUAAUGGUUUGCUGAAUCCAUUAUGAAGUGCAAUUAGAUAGAUGCAGGGUUCCUGUGGCUCAGAGGAGACUGGUAGCAUUUAUCUUCCUUUCUCUCAAGCCAAAAGGUUGAACUCUGCCACUGCAAUAUUUACAUACUGAGCAGUGAUCCUCACCGUAUCUUGCAGACCGAGACCCUGUGGUUAGCGGUGCCUGUUUUAUCAUGCUGCCCAGAGCCACAGGAGUGCAGAAGAUGAAGAUUGGAGUUUUGCAGCAGCAUCUUCUCCUGAUUGCUCACAAUCACAAGACAGAGAUAGCUGCAUAUAAAUGGGCCAAGGUUUUUGUGCCAGUUUUUUAGUUUGUCACUUGUUAUUACAACUUCAAGAAUAGAAACAAACAGUCAAGCGUGCUCCUGCAGUGGGGACUUGAUGGAUCUAAUAUUCUGCAUAGUAUCAAUUUUUCGGUGGUGAGCAUAUGGCCCUAUUGAGAUAUUGCGUGUGUAACAAAGUGCUCCCUUCUUUCUCUCCCUCAGUGGUUCUCACUGUUUGUCCCCAAGGCUUUAUGGCCACAGUGAAAUGGAGGAAGUUUGAGGUUAAAUUGCACUGAAUCUAGGAAUGACCAGGAGAUGGUGCUCAAGGUCUUGAGGAUUAGUGUUAAUGGCCAGGUGUCUCUGCAACUUUGAAGCUCUUCCCCAGCUCUUGGGCUGGCAGAUGUGGAGAGUUCUUGAGCUAUUAUGAAGCUGAACCAGAAAUCCCAGCCUGGGACACUGCUGCUUAAAGAAGACCCAGAAAUUGUGCCAUGUUCACCUCUGGAGAGAGUGAAAAUACAGCUGUUACUGUGAAGCAGUGCAAAAGCCCAGAACCCCCCUCAGCCUGGAGAAGAGCGGAGUGGGAAAUGUUCGAGAUAGUGCAUUCCUGGAUGCAGGGAGGUGGGAAAGCUGCGUGCAGUGCUCAGAGUGAAGGUGCCAGAUUCUUUUGAAAAAAAAGGACAGAAUGUGUGAAUAACUUGCCCACGGAAGAAGCUUGCUCUUGAAUGCGAUCAGUUAACAAUUGGAGACCCCUGAGGCUGUGUCUUGAGAAAAGUGGAAAGGACGGCGAGGGGAGGAGAACGCAAUCUGCUCUUCAUGUGCGCUACGCAGAGUUUCGAAGAGGGAGGUGUUCAUUGGGGCCUUGCUGCUUGCAAGUUAUGCCUGUAUUGAUCAUUUUCUUCUGGAUUGCUGACUCUCAAAGGCAAGGAGUGGGGUAAGCACUUUUUGGGGGGCACUGUGGGACCUUGUAUGUAGGCACCACCACGAGUGUGAUGCCCUGAUCAGACAGAGGGAGACGUAGUGUUUAUGUCAUAGAAUCAUAAGAUUGGAAGGGACCUCCGGAGAUCAUCUAGUCCAACCAUCAGCGUAGCCCAUAAGGGGUCGAACCCACGAUCCCAGCAUUAGCAGCACCACGCUCUAACCAACUGAGACGAAUUUGGCCCCAAUUAACCUGGAGCAAACUGCAGAUGAGGAGAUCUUGAAACUGGUGCAAGCAUUUGGAUAGCACAUCCUGAUGUCGUUUCUACUUCUGGACUACUUCUGGAAGGAAAAGAGUGACCCAGUACAUGAGACAAGUUCUUACAUGCUGCACUAGCCGUUAUGUACUGCAUCAAGCCCUGCACCAGCACUUCCAGGCUCUGCUUGCUUCCCUUAGUGGGUUAUUUAGUUCUCUCUGCAAUGGACAAAUAAAAUGUAUAUAGUUUUCUUUUUCCUCUGCCCCAUCACUAACAUGAUGCUGAGCAGGAGAGCAGAUCCUAGUGGGACUGUCAGGAUUCAUUACAGGAGUCCAGCCCAAAGAGACACACAGCUCUGGGAGCUUGCUGAAAGACCAUCCAUCAAGCCAAACCCAACUGUCCCUAUACGGAUAAAAUGUCAGGUCCCCAGCAGAGAGAGGCAAACACAUGAUUCCCUCUGCCUAGAGCAGACUGAGCUGUCCUCGUAAUUAAUUCUUCCAGAUAACAUGG